GGACGAGGCCGAGCACUGCCGGACUUGGGGUCGUCUGCAGCAAAGCUUCCAACAGCUACAAGUCACCCUGAGAUAUGAAGAAUUGGAUCCCCUAUCAAACAAGAUCAAGCUGAUCACAUCGCAGUCGAUCUCAGUUCAAUCAUGGAGAAGCCGAACAUUUUCGUGGUGUCCUUUAGCAACUUGCAGGGUGUUUACUACGCAGGCCAGGUCAUGCAGGGCAAUGUCACGGUGGAACUCAUAGACACUAUGAAAAUGAGAGGGAUUCAUCUCCAGUUUGAAGGCAGUGCCUAUGUACAUUGGACUGAGAGACAUACAACAGGUUCUGGAGACAACCGGCAUACAGAGACCUACCACUACUCUGCUGAGGAACAGUACUUCCACCAGGACAUAUUGCUAGCUGGUAGAUGGAAGCAGCAGUCUGGGGAGAACAUCCAUCUGCCUGUUGGCCGCCACACCUUCCCGUUUGCAUUUCAACUCCCACCUCAACUUCCAUCGUCCUUUGAAGGAGAAUAUGGUUAUGUUCGUUACACGGCUAAAGGAAUCAUUGAUAAACCAUGGAAAUUCAACCACGAAACGAAAAGGAUGUUCACAGUGAUUUGUAUACUAGAUCUUAACCAGGAUCAAAAUGUGAGGAUACCUGCUCAAUGUGCCAAGUCCAAGACACUUUGCUGCUGGUGCUGUGCAUCAGGACCAAUCUCUGCUAACUUCUCCAUCGACAGACAGGGAUAUGUUCCUGGGGAAGCCAUCAUUCUCAAGGCUGAAAUUGACAACCAGUCAAACAGGAGAAUAAAGUCAUCAUCUGUGAAAAUGAGAAUGGUGACAAUAUACCAUACUAUCAGGAAAUCAAGAACUUCAAGCCGUGUGGUUGCAAGGUUGAUGCAUGGCGAGAUCCAAAAAGGGGGACAUGAUUACUGGAAUGGUGACCAACUGGUUAUUCCACCACUGCCGCCAUCGUUACUCGUCGGCUGCAACAUCAUCGACAUAGGGUACAUUGUACAGCUUGAAGUGACUCCUUCAGGACCUAGCUUUGAUCUUGACAUCCCUCUACCAGUGAUAAUUGGCACCAUCCCUCUACAAAGUGUCCUUGCUCAGCAUCCUCCCACUGCCCCUCCAGUAGGGGCCCCCAUGAUCAUGCCAAAUCCUGCAGGUGCCCCCCAACCAGACACAGGAGCCCAACAUUCCCCUGCAGGAGCCCCUCCGCCAGGGUCAGAAGCCCCACCAGCUUAUCCCCCAGCCCUACCAUCAUAUGAAGAGUGUGUAUUUGGCAAGGACGGCACCAAGGAAGAAGGGGAGAAUGAAAAACAUCUGCAGGAAGACAAUAGCUAUGCUCCUGUCUACACAUACUAUGACUGGGGCAACAAGCCCUCUGCCCCCCCAUCAUAGGUUUGGUAGCCUAGUGGUUAAAGUGUCCUCUCAUCAUGCAUAAGGCCCAGGUUUGGGUACAAUGUGUGAAGCCCAUUUCUUGUGUUCCUCUGCAAUGAUAUUGCUGGAGUGUUCCACAAAAUGACAUUAAACUAUACUCCCUCACUCACUCCAUGAGAGUAGAUAUCAGGGGUGAUGAGGUAAACUAAAACUCCCUUCUAGUUGUAUUAAGACUGGGACCACAAGCCCUCCACCCCUCCAUCAGAGUAGAUAUCUUGGGUGCUGAGGUAGAUAAUAAUGCUCUUCUAGUCGUAUUAUGACAGGGGCAACAAGCCCUCUGCCCUCCACCCUCUAUCAGAGUAGAUAUCAGGGGUGCUGAAGUAGACGAUAAUGCUUGUCUUCUCAUUACGACAGGGGCAGAGCCCUCCACUCUCCAUCAGAGUAGAUAUCAGGGGUGAUGAGGUAGAUUAUAAUGCUCUUCUAGUUGUAUUAUGACAGGGGCAACAAGCCCCUGCCCUCCACCCUCUAUCAGAGUAGAUAUCAGGGGUGCUGAAAUAGAUUAUAGUUCUCUUCUAGUCAUAUUACAACAGUGCCAAAGUCCUCCACCCUCCCAUCAGAGUAGAUAUCAGGGGUGCUGAAGUAGAUUAUAAUGCCCUUCUAGUUGUAUUAUGACUAGCAACAAGCCCUCUGCCCUCUGCCCUCCACCCUCCAUCAGAGUAGAUAUCAGGGGUGCUGAAGUAGAUGAUAAUGCUUGUCUACUCAUUACGACAGGGGCAGAGCCCUCCACUCUCCAUCAGAGUAGAUAUCAGGGGUGCUGAGGUAAAUUAUAAUGCUCUUCUAGUUGUAUUAUGACGGGCAACAAGCCCUCUGCCCUCCACUCUCCAUCAGAGUAGAUAUCAGGGGUGCUGAAGUAGACGAUAAUGCUUGUCUUCUCAUUACGACAGGGGCAGAGCCCUCCACUCUCCAUCAGAGUAGAUAUCAGGGGUGAUGAGGUAGAUAAUAAUGCUCUUCUAGUUGUAUUAUGACAGGCAACAAGCCCUCUGCCCUCCACCCUCCAUCAGAGUAGAUAUCAGGGGUGCUGAAGUAGAUGAUAAUGCUUGUCUACUCAUUACGACAGGGGCAGAGCCCUCCUCUCUCCAUCAGAGUAGAUAUCAGGGGUGCUGAGGUCGCUGUCAUAUUGCUGAAUGUGGAGUUAAAAAAACAAACAAGAAAUAAUUAGCAGGUGUGCUCUUUGUUGUAUUUGUCACCAUUAAAAAGAUUGGAUGCCAGAGAGAAGUCCCAUGUCACAAAUACCCAUUGUCGUCCUUCAUUCGUACUGUUUUGGCUGUAUCUCGAGAUAUAGAGGUAAAAACAGUCCAAACAUAGGUAACAAAUUCCCUGUGGGUCAUAUAUUUUAUAAUAGUUAAUCUUGUCUCUUAACAUUAAAACAACUGGCAUUUUUCACUUAUUUUGAUGACAUAUAAUGCGGUGGCAUAUAGUCAUCAUCUGGUCUGUCCGUCAGUCAAUUUCGUUUCCGUAGCUUCAACUUAAAAACCAUGAAAGACUUUUCAUCCAAACGUGGUACAUCUAUUAACCGUUUCGAGUGGAACAAGUUUGACUUUGACUCUGUUCACUGUGCAUGUUGUGUUUGUCCGACCACAUCUCUAAACCUAAUAGGUAUUCUUUCAUGACACUUUGCACACACAAAGACUGGUACCUUUUGAUAUUUAGGGAUUUUUAGAAAAAAAAAUUCCGUUUCCAUGGCAACACGUUUGACUCUGACUCUGUUCAUAUUGGUGUGUACGUGGCAUAGAAAUACAAAGUUCCGAAUCCUAAUCCAAUGGUAUUGUGAUAGCUCAAUAACUACUCAUGUAGACUGAAAGGUACUUAGUCAAUUUUAGCUCACCUGACUGAAAGUCAUGUGAGCUUAUUGUGUCAUGGCCUGUUUGUCCGUGCAUCCUCCAUUAAGACGGUAAACAUCUCGGAAACCACUAGAUCGAUGAAUCGGAAACUCCACGUGCUUGUUCCUCUUUCUUCACGAAUUUCGAAUUCCAUUUUCAGUAGGUCGUCGCCAGCCAGUGUUACCUGCAUACACAUCUCACACACACUUACACAAAUAGGAAGGAAAUAUUUGAAUUUGAAAUAUUUCUUGUGAGAAUCGUAAGUUUUAGGAAAAUGAAACCUAAAGACGGUCACUUUCAACCCAGUUUUACACCAGUAGCCUUCCAUCUUCCCGGGCAUCUCGUAAUGUUGCUUGUUGACAACAUGUUACUGAUUUUGUAUUCACGGAUGCGACAUUUUCUAUAUUGUGACCUGUCACUGUCUUAUCUCCUUGCUAUUUCAGCAUGUGUACCAUCCCCACAAGACCUGAAAAAACAAUACUAAACAUCGUAAGACAGCUUCUACUUCUCCCAACCACUUCGUUAUAAGAAGGAUAAUACUUCAAAUAUCGUCAUAUACCAAUAUCGGACAUAUAUCAAAUAUGUAAGUAUUAAAAUAGAGAACGUAAGGCGUUAAGAGAAAUCACACCGGGGGAGAUUGAAUAACAGGAAUAAACAAGAUGGAGCAAAUAUUCAUUUCAUCGAAUCUAUUUGAUCACUUUUGAACGUCAAACGAUGCAGCACUUGUUGAAUUGGACUUCCGAGUCAAUUUACGAAUUAUAUAGAAAUGCAUCACUUUGAAAUUCUAAAUAGUGGCAUAACCACCUUAAAAUUGCAAAAAGUAUGGUUUAGAUUUUGUUGACGGGAACGUCUUCAGAUUUAAAACAAUAAAUAUGAGUGACUAUGAUAUAAAUUCCACACCGAACGAACUUUAUUCAUAUCAACUAUAUAAAAUCAGUAAAUCAGUAGCGCAAGUGUUGGAAAAAAGUCAAUCCUGCCGAUAAUGUAUUUGUUGUCUGCUGAUAGAAAUCAAACAAAAAGCCUUCAUAGUGAUUUUACAAAAAGCUGAUGAUACAGCAAAAUGCAUAACAUUGGUAUUAAAGGUGGAUACGUAAGUACAGCAUAUGUCUAUUAACCUUUUAUCAAUUAUGGUGCAAUAUAGAAAUAUACUUUUCGUAUUUGUACCAUCACAUUCGAAGCAUAACGUUUAGACAGAUACAAAAUAAAUCGCCUAUUUUUGUUUCAUGUUCGCUGAUUGGGAAUAGACGUAAAUAUUAAGUUUGUGAAUGUAAUUUUACUGUAUUGGCAGUAAAAAAGUUUACGCAUUCCUUCCUGGUGACACACCGUUCGAGUUAGAAAAGAAAAGUCAACAACAUGAAUGGCAUCCGGAGUGUUUCCGUCAUCCUGUCAGCACUGUCGUUGUUCUGUGACUCAACGACAACAAUGUGUAUAUGUGGAACUGUUAUCUACCAUCGCACGACGUCCGCUUUACAGCAGACUUCGAUCGUGUGUGGACGCUGGAGAUAACAUGGAGUUCGUGAAUGAAUGUUGUUUAAUACCUGUCAAACUUUGCCGUCUCUAUCACGACAGCCUUUAAGUUAAGGUAUCUUGCCUAGGGAAACCAGUGAGUUUUAAUAUGAUCAACGCUCCGCGCCAUCGGAUAGGCAAAGUCACAGGAGUAUACUAAGUAUUGUUCCAUCGGGUAGCAUGAGUUGUGUUUAAGCCACAUGAAUAAAAAUUUAAUUAUAUCGCGUCCUGUCAACGUAACGUGUGAGGAUAGGCAAGAGUGAUAAAGGCCGUAGGCGUUUAUAGGAUUCGCCACACGAGUAAACUAUGUGAAGCCAAUUUCUGGUGUCCGGUGCCUUGAUAUUGCUGGAAUAUUGAUAAAAGCGGCAUAAUAAUAUAUCCGCUGACUCUUAGACCGAGCAUGGUUGGUACUGACCAAACUGAUCACGACAUGAAACAUCAAGAACGAUAUAUUGCACCAUGUCGAGAAUCGAACCUCAGUCUUCUGCGGAAGAUUAUUGGUAGGUGGGAAGGUAUCUGAAAGUUCAUCAGGAAGACUUGUGCAGAGUUCACUGACCAUUCAAGGUUCUGUUCCGUGUCGGGUGCAGUGUGAGCACAUAGAGAACAAAUAAAGUAUAUCUCGCAAAAUCUCGAAAUAAAUAGCACCUACUGUCCGCCAGUGGGUCCACUGAACUUAAUUCCCUUUAUGUGAAUAUAAAUACAGCGGUAUCUUUGAGGCGACCGUCUGCCAACUUACCUAGCCACUGUCCGAGGGUCAAGUCUCGACUAAUACAAAGCAUUCCACAUUUAUCCCUAAGACGAGUCACUGUCAGACUGCAACGUACACAUGCGAUACAGGACUUUGCGAGCCUGCAGUAUCCCGCACCUCAUCCACGAUAGGGUUUGUUUCUUCCAAUAAAGGGAAACAACACUGCAACUUUCCGUCGUCCAGUCGGUGCCAUUUUAACUAGCCCGCGUAAUCACCAGGAUCCAAUUAGCGCCAGCGACCCAACAAACUGGGCUUCUGACCAGCGAGGGGCCAGCUGGAAUACCUUGCUGACAGUGAGGGGUAGUCCCCUCGAAUCCUCACAUUUGAUUGGAUGAUGCUUACUAUAACCUUUCACCUUGCAAAUUCAUCUGCGCAUGUAAGUGU
rnacentral:misc_RNA from 1 species